GCGUCUGUAGCUCAGGGGAUAGAGCAAUGGUUUCCGGUACCAUGUGUCGGGGGUUCGAAUCCCUCCAGACGCG
rnacentral:tRNA from 1 species